AGUGAACGCUGGCGGUAGGCCUAACACAUGCAAGUCGAACGGUAGCACAGAGGAGCUUGCUCCUUGGGUGACGAGUGGCGGACGGGUGAGGAAUGCAUCGGAAUCUACUCUUUCGUGGGGGAUAACGUAGGGAAACUUACGCUAAUACCGCAUACGACCUCCGGGUGAAAGCAGGGGACCUUUUAGGCCUUGCGCGAUUGAAUGAGCCGAUGUCCGAUUAGCUGGUUGGCGGGGUAAUGGCCCACCAAGGCGACGAUCGGUAGCUGGUCUGAGAGGAUGAGCAGCCACACUGGAACUGAGACACGGUCCAGACUCCUACGGGAGGCAGCAGUGGGGAAUAUUGGACAAUGGGCGCAAGCCUGAUCCAGCCAUACCGCGUGGGUGAAGAAGGCCUUCGGGUUGUAAAGCCCUUUUGUUGGGAAAGAAAAGCAGCCGGCUAAUACCCGGUUGUUCUGACGGUACCCAAAGAAUAAGCACCGGCUAACUUCGUGCCAGCAGCCGCGGUAAAAC
rnacentral:rRNA from 1 species